rnacentral:lncRNA from 1 species
AGGAAGAUGUGGAUUAUGAAGCAGAUGGUGAUCAGGAGAAUAUUGCUACAAGUGCAAGAUCGGACCAGAUCGUUGUAGCUGCUCCCGUUCCUCGUUCGGCUGCCCCUGCUCGUACUGCUGCGGCACCUCGCACUCGCAGCAAGCGGGCAAGGUUGAAUCAACAGGCUCCAGCAGGACGUAAUGGAAGGAGUGCAGGAACUAAUGAGCCAUCCGAUGGAGAUGAAGCAAAUCAGCAGCCACCGCCACCGCCACCGCCACCACCCGGACCACAGGUUAAUCCUGUGCCCAAAUUAAGGUCAAAAGCAUGGGAUAACUUCACUUUGAUUGAACAACCUGAUCCUGAUCAAGUAUUUGCUCAGUGCAAAACUUGUAAAGCCAUACUUAGAGCAAGUUCGAAAAAUGAAACAUCUCAUUUGUUAAGGCAUACUGCUAACGUGCAUCCACAUAAUACUCAUGAAGUGAACAACUUUUUCUGAAAACUGAAAAGAAUGCGGAUGGCUCACAUUCGGUUAGGAACACAAAGUUGGACAUGGAAACUAUUAGAGUUGCAAUCUCUAUGUUCCUAGUUGGGGGUUCACAUGCAUUUAGUGUCAUAGAAGAAGUGGGGUUCAAAAAAAUGAUUGGUGCUGCUUAUCCUCAGUUUAAGAUUGUUAGUCGGUACACAAUUAAAAGGGAUAUCAUGGCAAUGUUUGAAAGAGAGAGGACUGGAUUGAGAGAAACUAUCAGCAAUAGCCCUGGUAGAGUUAGCUUCACCACGGACAAUUGGAAAUCAGAUGUGACAAAGUUUAGUUAUAUUUGUAUUACUUGUCAUUAUGUUGAUGAUGCUUGGAGACUGAACAAAAGGAUAAUAUGGUUUAAAAAGUUGAAUCCACCUUAUGAUGGGGCUACAAUUGCUGAUGAAGUCCAUUUAUGUUUUCGUGAGUGGAAGGUUGAUACCAAAAUAAUGUGCAUGACUCUUGAUAAUGUUGCAUACAAUGAUUCGAUGAUCAACACUUUGAGAACUACAUUGCUGCCUAAAGGUGUGUUACCAUUGUUUGGAACUUUCUUUCAAGUCCAAUGUUGUGCACACAUUUUAAAUCUGAUUGUCCAAGCUGGUUUGAAACUUAUUGAUAAAUCUGUUGACAAGAUUAGAGAGGGCAUUCAAUAUAUCAAAAUAUCUAGCAAUCGUAUUCAAAAGUUCUAUGAAACUGCCAAGAACAUUUACCAUUUGAAUGAAGAUAAAAGGUUGAGAGUAGAUAUGCCCGUUCGCUGGAAUUCAACAUACACAAUGCUUGAGAAUGCUUUGUAUUUCAAGGAUGCAUUACUGUAGUUUGGUAAUAGGGAUGGCAUAUUCAAGUCAAACUUCUCUCUUACGCAUGAUGAAUGGGAAAAGGUUCGUAUCAUGCAUGAUUUCUUGAAAACAUUUUAUAAAGUGACGUGCACAUUGUCUGGGACAAAGUAUCCUACCUCCAAUUUGUAUUUCCAGUGUGUGUUCUUGGUUCAGUCAUGUGUCUUGAAGGCAUUUAGUGAAGGACAUGAGUUCAUGGCACCAAUGUUAGUUCCAAUGAAAGAGAAGUUUGAUAAAUAUUGGGCUGAUUAUAAUGUCUUCUUGUCUUGUGCUGUUGUCCUUGAUCCCUGUUGCAAGCUUGGUUUUGUUAGCUACUGUUAUGGAAAACUUUAUGCCCUUGACGAGGCACAACGUCGGAUGCAUGAAGUUAAGAAAACUUUGGAGAGUUUGUUUGCUGAAUAUAGUGGUGCUGCUGUUAGUCAAACAUCAUCAGAUGGUGCUACAAACAGUAGGGGAAGUAGGGGAGAUGGUUCUGAUAUGUUCGAUGACUACGAGAGUUACAUUCAAUCUCAACGGAC